rnacentral:rRNA from 1 species
GACGAACGCUGGCGGCGUGCCUAACACAUGCAAGUCGAACGAGGUCCAGGGGAGCUUGCUCCCUGACGACCUAGUGGCGAACGGGUGAGUAACACGUGAGAAACCUGCCUCGGAGUGGGGAAUAACUCGGGGAAACUCGAGCUAAUACCGCAUACCUUCACAUGAUCGCAUGGUCGAGUGAAGAAAGAAUUUCGCUCUGAGAGGGUCUCGCGGCCUAUCAGCUUGUUGGUGGGGUAACGGCCUACCAAGGCAACGACGGGUAGCUGGUUUGAGAGAACGAUCAGCCACACUGGGACUGAGACACGGCCCAGACUCCUACGGGAGGCAGCAGUGGGGAAUCUUGCGCAAUGGGCGAAAGCCUGACGCAGCAACGCCGCGUGCGGGAUGACGGCCUUCGUGGUUGUAAACCGCUUUCAGCAGGGACGAAAAUGACGGUACCUGCAGAAGAAGCCCCGGCUAACUACGUGCCAGCAGCCGCCGUAA